rnacentral:rRNA from 1 species
GACAGAGGGCGCAAACGUUGUUCGGAUUUACUGGGCGUAAAGCGCGUGUAGGCGGCUUUGCAAGUCGGAUGUGAAAGCCCACGGCUCAACCGUGGAAGUGCAUCCGAAACUGCAUGGCUGGAGUCUCGGAGAGGAAGGUGGAAUGCUUGGUGUAGAGGUGAAGUUCGUAGAUAUCAAGCAGAACACCUGCGGCGAAGGCGGCCUUCUGGACGAUGACUGACGCUGAGACGCGAAAGCGUGGGGAGCAAACAGG